UGUCUUUUGUAUUAAAGAAUUAAAUGGAUGAAAUAUGAAGUUUUAUUAAAAGAAAAAGGGGUGAAAAGAACAAAGUUUUGUCCAUCUUUGUUCAUCAUAGCUGAAAGUUAGAGAAGAGAAAGGAGAGGAGAAAGCUCUUGAGUAUUCGGUCAUUAGGAGGAGGAAAAUUAAAGGCGGUUCGUGUGUGGAUCUCACAAGAUAUCGUCGCAAAAGCAAUAAAUCCCCAACCAUAGUGGGCUUGGAGCGUGAGGGAAUUCAGAGUGGCCACCCGUUCUGAAA